rnacentral:rRNA from 1 species
AGCAGGUCAUAGUGAUCCGGUGGUUCAGUAUGGAAGGGCCAUCGCUCAACGGAUAAAAGGUACUCCGGGGAUAACAGGCUGAUACCGCCCAAGAGUUCAUAUCGACGGCGGUGUUUGGCACCUCGAUGUCGGCUCAUCACAUCCUGGGGCUGAAGUAGGUCCCAAGGGUAUGGCUGUUCGCCAUUUAAAGUGGUACGCGAGCUGGGUUUAGAACGUCGUGAGACAGUUCGGUCCCUAUCUGCCGUGGGCGCUGGAGAAUUGAGGGGGGCUGCUCCCAGUACGAGAGGACCGGAGUGGACGCAUCACUGGUGUUCGGGUUGUCAUGCCAAUGGCACUGCCCGGUAGCUAAAUGCGGAAGAGAUAAGUGCUGAAAGCAUCUAAGCACGAAACUUGCCCCGAGAUGAGUUCUCCCUGAGACUAUAAGUCUCCUGAAGGAACGUUGAAGACGACGACGUUGAUAGGCCGGGUGUGUAAGCGCAGCGAUGCGUUGAGCUAACCGGUACUAAUGAACCGUGAGGCUUAACCUU